rnacentral:rRNA from 1 species
AUUGAACGCUGGCGGCAGGCCUAACACAUGCAAGUCGAACGAGUGGCGGACGGGUGAGUAAUGUCUGGGAAACUGCCUGAUGGAGGUGGAUAACUACUGGAAACGGUAGUUAAUACCGCAUACCAUCGGAUGUGCCCAGAUGGGAUUAGCUAGGAGGUGGGGUAAAGGGUCACCUAGGCGACGAUCCCUAGCUGGUCUGAGAGGAUGACCAGCCUCACUGGAAAUGAGACACGGGCCAGACCCCUACGGGAGGGAGCAGGGGGGAAUUUUUCACAAUGGGCGCAAGCCUGAUGCAGCCAUGCCGCGUGUAUGAAGAAGGCCUUCGGGUUGUAAAGUACUUUAAGUUGGGAGGCGUUACCAACAGAAUAAGCACCGGCUAACUUCGUGCCAGCCGCCGCGGUAAUA